AACCGCCGUAUGCCGAACGGCACGUACGGUGGUGUGAGAGGGAGGAGAAAGUCCUCCCUACUCGAU
rfam:Tissierellia bacterium KA00581 genomic scaffold Scaffold10, whole genome shotgun sequence.